UAAAAUUGUAGAGAAAAGUUCCAGAUCAGUAUUUCCAGCUCUAUUGUUAGAGAUAAAGGUUUCUUGAUCCCCUCUCUAAUACCCCAAAUGACUCAAUUUACAGCAAAACUGUUAGGGCAUCAGAUUUUUACUAGUUUCUUUUUAGUCCUCAUCUCAAAUUGUAUUUUUUGCCUAAGUAGUCCUUCUAUUUCUGAAUUGUGCCUCAAGUUUGAGGCUGGAAUUAUAUAUUAGUCCCUGCUGAAAGGUUCUACAGGAUUCCUUAUCAAAUUUUUCCGAUUUUCAAAACCUUUUUAUACCCUCACUAACCUUCGUAAAUUACCCUACCCCCUGAAUUUGACCCCAGUCAGUUCUUUUAGCCCUAGUUCAGC
rnacentral:lncRNA from 1 species